rnacentral:rRNA from 1 species
GUACACUCCUGCGGGAGGCAGCAGUGGGGAAUAUUGGACAAUGGGCGCAAGCCUGAUCCAGCCAUGCCGCGUGAGUGAUGAAGGCCCUAGGGUUGUAAAGCUCUUUCACCGGUGAAGAUAAUGACGGUAACCGGAGAAGAAGCCCCGGCUAACUUCGUGCCAGCAGCCGCGGUAAUACGAAGGGGGCUAGCGUUGUUCGGAUUUACUGGGCGUAAAGCGCACGUAGGCGGACUAUUAAGUCAGGGGUGAAAUCCCGGGGCUCAACCCCGGAACUGCCUUUGAUACUGGUAGUCUUGAGUUCGAGAGAGGUGGGUGGAAUUCCGAGUGUAGAGGUGAAAUUCGUAGAUAUUCGGAGGAACACCAGUGGCGAAGGCGGCUCACUGGCUCGAUACUGACGCUGAGGUGCGAAAGCGUGGGGAGCAAACAGGAUUAGAAACCCGUGUAGUCC